rnacentral:lncRNA from 1 species
UUUUUAUUUUUGUUCUUAUUUUUCUCCUUAGCUUUCAUUCUCUGGUCAUAGUCCAUCUUGGCACCCUAACGUGCCCCACGUUGAAUCGGACCCUUUUCCUCCAGUGGGACCUGAGAGCAGGGACAAAACGGGACGUCGCGUCUCCAUCCUGAAGACCCAGGGGGUCUUGGUCUCUGCACGCCCGUCCCGUGGAGGAAGAGUGAGAAGGGGCAGCAUGUGCAGCGCAAGCUGCCAUCCGCGUGGGAUGCGCCAGGACUAGAACUGGCUCUGCCGACUCUGGGGGGCUUCUCUGGGAGAGGCCCGGCCUUGGCUGCUGGACCCUGGUCCCUCCUCCUGGACGGCAGUCCCCAUCCCAGUUCCAGGGAUGUGCAGCAUUCCCUGCCAAGCAGGGGUGAGAACUGCUUCUGUGUGAAGCACCAGCCUCGGGUCCUCUCCUCUCUCUUGGUCCUCACAGUAGUUGUCACCAGUGUCUGGAGGAAGAUUUUCAGAAACGACAGAGGCGUGGCCCAGUGACAAGAUGAAGGCUGUGACUGAGCCGCCUGGAUGGUGACCUUCAUUCAAGGAGGCUCCCUGGAUGGUCCUGGGAGGGCUCCCCAACACCUCAGUGGCCCCUCCAAUGCUGCAAUGUGUUGCUGGGGUCCUGAACACCUGCUGGCCAACAGACCCCACACCCACCCUCCUUCAUCGUCAUCUGUGUGGGGACAGACAAGAGCCAUGGCCGCCGUGGGCCAUGGGGUGCCCUCAACCCUCUGCCUUCCUACCCAGCCUGAGACAGGAAGGCCGCCAGCUGGGAGCACCACGGGACUGAUCCAAGGAAGGCGUGGGGAGUGUGGUGACAGGAGAUGGGACGAGGGGGCAGAGCCAGCUGGAACAUGGAUGCCAGAGGCUGCCUCCAUAGUGCAUCUCCAGAAGUCACAGAGGCCCUGAGCGCCCAGAGCCACCUGAGCCACCUGGCCUGGAAGCCCCUGCGCAGGCCAGACCUGCAGGCCAUGGACCCCAGCAGGAACCGAAGCCUCACCCCAAGCCUUCGUACACAAGGAGCAGCCCAGGUGAGGGACGGCGGACGCACCUGUGGCUCUACUGGUGCAAGAAGGGAACCGUGGUCCAAGAAGCUGACAGAGAGGAAGCAGUGCAUUGGUGAAGGCAACGUCAGGUGUGAUUUCCAUUCCUGCUGGGAGACCCAGGUCACAGCCCGGGAGCUUCGUCCAGCCUGUGGAUGGAGCCUGACUGCCUGAAGAUGGAACUUCUGUGUCCUCCCACCCUUGGUGGUCUAAGGUUAUUGCUCUCAGAGCUGAAUUGACAGGAGGUGUGUGUGUGCACGCUCACUUGUGUGCACAUGCCUGCGUUUAUGCGUGUUUUCAUUCAACCAGAAGAGCAAUUCAUGGGAUUUAGCCGUUUUGAGACACCUAGAAGUUGAGGCAGUUAGAUGUGCAGCCAGGUUGGAAUGUAACGUGCACCAUUGUAUAAAGGAGGUGACUCGGUUGCUGCAGGGAGGAUUGGGUUGUCUGGAAGUAUUAGGUUCAUUUUAUAUUUGUGUCAGAAGAAAUGUCUGACUUUAGGGCAGAUGACAUAGUGGCCGCGGCCCAGGCAUGGUUCCCUAGGUUGAAAUCAGGGAAAAGCUAAUACUGUCAGACAGGUAUGCGUUUUCUUUGGUGGCUGCAGGGUUUCUGCUGGAAAAUGCACUAUUAAUCAGCACUUGUCCAAGAAAGACCCAUCCGUUUCUGUUGUCAUUCAAGCCACAGUUCCUGAUUUACUCAGACAAGAUACUGGGCCAGUUCAAUGUGUCUAGCUGAGCCUGACCUUGGGGUUUGCGUCUCAAGUCUGAAAUCUUGUUCAGUCCUCUGUGCAUAGUUUUGUCUCAUUUUAAUGACUGCAUCUUCUUGGUACAUUUAUUAUACUCAGAACUGAAUGGCACACAAUAGCCUUGUGUUAAUAAAAGCUACCGUAGCGCUAUGGGUGAACCGCUGAGUUGAAGUCCGAUGGACUCUACGAUGCAGGUAUCCAGAAAUACGUUGUAACUCUACCUGCCUCCCUGCCAGCCUGGCUCCUCCUCUGGGGGAGCUCCUGGCGUGGUCCUAGUGUUGUCCUGCAUGGGAACAACAGCUGCAUGGGCCAGCUGUUUUGGAUCUAAAGAUGUGCAGUGAAACUCAGAUUCACAUCCCUCAUGUUUAUUUGGGUCAUCAUGGUUUUGCAUGUUGUAUAUAUGUCUGGAGCACUUCAUACACCUCUAUCCACCACAGGCACUCUUAAUCACAGUCUGUAAUAGUAAUAAGGCAAACUAUACAGCAAAGAGAAGCAUGUAAAUAUGUACCAAUUCUUAUGAAGUUGUAAUUGUUUAUAUGUAAAAAGUAUGUAUAUACGAAAGGGAGAAGGUACAAGGAACGUGCUGAAUAACAUGCAAACUGCAUUGCAUCCCUGUCCCAUUCCUGAAAGCUCACAUCUAGUUGCAGCGUCAGUUCCUCUCCUCAGAUAUCAUUGUUCUCACUCUUCUAUCAUAGGCACCUUCUUUACAUCUGAUUACAAUAUCCAGCAUUUCAGAACUGGGUUUUUGCCCCCAAAAAGGUAAAUAUGAACAUUUAUCACUGACUCCUCCUGGUCCAGUGAGCAGCAGCAGAAUUCAAGUAUUUAAAAAUAAGGUGCAUUUCUAAAUUGUAGGCUAUACCUUCUUUUUCCAAACCAAUGGGCUAGAGUGAAUUUCCUCCGAGUACUUGAGCUGUCUUACUGCUAGCUUUUCUAACAGGGGAAGUCUGUAUAAAUGCAUCAUCCGCUAAUAACGCAAGAGGAAGGACCCUGAAAUGUGGCCAGAAAUGCUUACUGUGUAACCAGGACAUCAACAUUUACAUCAUAUUGUAUUAACAUCAUCACACUCUGUGCUCAACACACAGAACAACAUAGAUACUUCAGUUUGUCUAAAGUAAAAAUCCACGUAAAUCGCAGAUUUCUUUGUUGACACCAGUGUGGUGUUUACCUUGUGCCCACGGUCCAGAUUUUGAGCUGGAGAAGGACUAUGGCUGUUCCUUAAAGUCUCUGCCCUGGCAGAAUCUGUAGCCUUCAGGAUACCCCGAGUGCCUUACAGGGCUUGUGAACACCGACAGUAGAAGUCAAAAAGAAGAGAGUGCCCAAGCGUGGGUUUGGAGGCACUGAUGCAUUCGCCAACACUCACUGUCAUCCCAUCCUUGAAACCCUGAGAGGGAGUAUGUGUUUUAACACAGAGUGGAAUUUAAGUUUAGGCUCAGGAAACUCAUAUUCUGAAUAUAGGUAUCAAAUCAUAUAUUUGUUUACUGUAUAUUUUUUAAAAAGCUUUAUUGUAAAUUUAUGCAAAAACUAACCGGCCCGUUUUCUUAUGGCAGCAUGCCGAGCAGUGUGUGUGUCCUCCCAGGCACUCCCUUCAUAGUCACCCUCUAACCACGUGACAUUCUGUUCAGUGCUAAUCCGUAUUCACAGGCCUAACGUAGGUUUGUAUGGUGAUCUACGAGAUUUUACACAUAUUUUUGUAUUGUGAUUCCUAUGAUAUAUACCAGAGAAUUUUUACUCAUUUGUAAAUUAUUGUACAGUUUUAAUAAAAAAUGUUUUAAAUCUUAGACGAUUAAAGUCCCUUCAAAGGUAUUAAAGUUUGAACUGAAAGCCGUAUGAGCCAUUUCUGCACUUCUCAGUUCAUUCCCUGAACAGUGCCUCUGAACACCAAAAACGGGGUCUGCGCCUUCCGCCCACUGUGGAGGAAAGCCCCAGGUCUCACCUGUGAGAUCACCUGGAGGGCAAGCUCUGCAGUCAGGGGUGCCUGGCAGCACCUGGCUCAGGUCGACCACCUGGGAGACUCCCUCCUGUGGCUGUUGGUCAAAUGUGAACCAUCGAAGAGAUCGAACAUUCCAUCGAAGAGGAAAGGGACGGAACUUCUGCACAUGCAUGAGAACAGUUGGUGAUGUUUGCCGUGGACGGUCCCACAGGUGAGUAACAGACAUUAAUCAUUGAGGGGUGGGGGAGCCAGAGGAGGACGAGGGGGUGGGAAGCUGCUCGACCUAGCUCUGCUGGCUCAGGCCCCGCCGGUACUCGAGGUGACUCAGUGUCCGAACUCUGGCUUUGAAGUGCGGACUGCGCUAACAACGCAAAGGCCCGAAGUCUCUGGGUUCAAAUUCAGCCGUUGCAGGCUGGGUAGAGUGAAAGAUGGAGUGACAGCAUAGCCCCCUCACCCCUGUCUCACCCCAAGCCUCUAACUCGGCUUUAAGGGAGAUCAGCAGCAGUUUGCGUGGGCAGGUACCCCCAUCCAGCCCUCCACACUCGCCCAGGGUUUCGGAGUCGGGGCCUUCUUGUCUGUCGUGGGACGGCCCAAGGGGUCUGAAAAUGUGGUCGGGAUUCCCGUAGCGGUUUCUCCAGUGUGCGCUCCCUGCCCGGUCUUCCCAGCGCCCACCGUGUUCGGAGGGCGACCAGCCACGCGUGGCUGGGACGAA